CCAAACUGACGGGUUGCACCUGCUACAGACUUUCCCUUGUUGGAUGGGAACAGCCAUGGGAUCCUUCCUGCUCUGCCUGUGUCUUCUCAGUGCCCUCCCAGGUGUCCUGUCUGAGGACCAGUUGGUCCAGUCUGGCCCAGGAGUGGUGAAGCCUGGAGAGACCCUCAGCCUGACAUGUGCUGUCUCUGGGAUCUCCAUUACUAAGCAGCAUCACAGGUGGCACUGGACCCGGCAGCCUCCCGGGAAAGGCCUGGAGUGGGUAGGGUAUGUGUAUCCCUAUGGUGGAGACACAGGCUACGCCACUGCUCUGACAAGCCGGACCACCAUCUCUGCAGACACCUCCAAGAACCAGUUCUCCCUGCAGCUGCGUUCCCUGACAGCCGCAGACACCGCCACGUAUUACUGUGCGUGUGUGUGCCCCGCUCACCUUGGUGGAGGAGUCCAGAAGCCUGGAGAGACCCUCCGCCUGACCUGCACCGCGCCUGGGCUCUCACUCACUACUUGUGCUGUGAGCUGGUUUCCCUGA